rnacentral:rRNA from 1 species
UACAGAGGUCCCAAGCGUUGUUCGGAUUCACUGGGCGUAAAGGGUGCGUAGGCGGUCGGGUAAGUCUGAUGUGAAAUCUCACAGCUUAACUGUGAAACUGCAUUGGAUACUAUUCGGCUUGAGAGUUGGAGGGGGGACUGGAAUUCCACGUGUAGCAGUGAAAUGCGUAGAGAUGUGGAGGAAUACCGAUGGCGAAGGCAGCCCCCUGGGAUAACACUGACGCUCAUGCACGAAAGCGUGGGGAGCAAACAGG